GAGGAACGGGCCCACCGAUCGGGGCGCGGCUGCUCGCUGUGCCGGCGCCGUGGGCCGUGCCCGGAGAGGAGGUCCCGCGUCGGGAAUGCCCCGCACCCGCCGCUCCCCGCACCGCCAGGCCGCGCCCCGCGGGGAGGCAGGCCGGGCUGAGCGCCUCGCUGUGGUCGUCCUUGUUAACCCCCGCGGAUGGAGGCGUUGUAGCGGCCUCUCCCAGCGAUAUACCGCCUCUUGGGAAGGAAUGUUUUCUGGAUAUCCAACGUAACUGUUCCAAGCUGCAGGAUAGGGCCUUUGUCUCUAGUUAUAUGCCCCAUUCAGGGAGGAGAGUUUCUUUGUUGUCUUUGUGUGUGGCCUCCGAGUGGUUUUAGACCACCAUUAAUUCAGCCCUCAGCCUCCCCUUUGCCAGACUAGAUGAAAUAACAUUCCUUCAAACAUCCUGCUAGCCCCUGUGCCCCUGAGCCAGCCCACUUGAAUGUGUGAUGCCUUAUGUGUGAUGCCGUUUCAUUAUGGGACAGAGCGAGCACUGACAGCAGCCAGUGGCUCAGGGUUAAUCUCAGCGCAGACACGUGUGCUGCUGUCUGUGUCCUCAGCGUCAGCCGGGAGGUGCACAGCAAAGAGCUGACGAGGGAGCUGCAGACCGGGAAAGACCUGUGACGAUCACUCCAUGGAUACGCUGCAGAGAGUUGUGGAGUGCCUGUGGAGGGAGGGUCCUGUGUGCGCAUGUACGUGCCCAUGGAUCACACGAGCGAGAUGCAGCAGAUGAGCUCCCUUACUCUAUUUGUAACCUCCCACCACUCUUGAACAGACUUGGCAAGGAGGGGAGGGAGAUGAAAACUGAGCUGAAAAUUGAAACAAGGCUCAGAUGCUUGUAGGGAUUUAGAAGCCUGAUUCAACCCAUCACUCCCAAGGGAAGCAGGAGCACAUGUGCCUCCUGAUCCCUGUGUUUUGCUGUCAAGCUCAGCACAGAUCCGCCUUGGCACAAAGUCAUUUGCAUUAACUCAUUGGGAAAAGGAGACGUAAGAACACAGUUAAACCACAAAGUAUGGGAUUACAGUCUGAUAUGAAGAAAGAAAAGAAAGAUAGAGGGGAAGGAAAAACAACUCAGUUGUUAUUUUUUAAUUUAUAUCCUUUGAACUGGCUGCAGGAGUGCUUGGUGAGGACAGUGGCUGUGUCAUACCCCUGUGGUAGGCUCCAGCCUCUCUUGAUGAGCAUCACAGAAGGGAGGUAUUGCAUUCAAGACCUUGCUACCAAACACCUAUUGCUGCCAGAGAGCUGAUCCCAGGGGACACAUGUGGGUACAUGAUGAGAAACCAGUGUGCAGGAACCCUGGGCUCCACUGGAACCUGUCAAGCAGCAGUGCAGCCAGCAGUUCAUAGGGACCAAGGGAUGUGCGACCGUUUGGAGUCAUCCCCUGGCAUGAGUAAAAAUCCCAAGGUGAUCCUUAGUGACAAAGCAGACUAAAAGAGAGUCAUGCAAGGGCAACAGAUAAUUAAGCCAGGGCAAAUGUUUGCAGCAGCUGUCUUGGGACAGAGCCUUCAUGCCACACCCAUUUCCCUGACUUGGCGUCAGCCAAAUGCUGCACAGGCUCUUCCCUCUGUGCGGUCGCAGCCCGUGUCCCAUCCUGGCCUGUGGUUUUCUUGUUUUGAUUCAGCACUCACUGCCGUGAGUAUUGUUCUCAAAGGUACAGGAUCUUCCUAGGAGAAUGCAUGCCGAUGGGGAGUCACAAUGGGAACACGCAGGUCCCAUCUCCAGAGCCACCUGCUCCUUAUGUGCAGCAUGUGCACAGCACAGCCCUCUCCUAAUCCCAGCCCUUCAUGGCCCCCAGCCCUCCUUUCAAAGGGCAAGAUGAGUACUAAGUCUCCACCACCACUUUGGUCCUUCUGGCUUUCUGCCAAAACUGCUAAUUAAAAAGCCAGCGUCAUCAGUGAUUUUUCUGAUGUGAAAACUUUUCCAUAAGGAACUGGUCCCAAAUCCACCAACUCAUUUCACAUUUAUUUUAAAUCUGAGCUUUAACAUCAUGUAAUUUCCUCCAGGGCUUGAUUAUCUUCUCAGUAAAAACACUGUUGUUCUGGUUUGUGAGACCUAUAUUUAAUCUUGCCGUAAGGCCUCUGUACCUCCCAGUACAGAGUUUAGUUGCUGCCACAACUCCUGGCUUUGCCUUCUUAUUUAUGUGAAUCCAUUAAACAAGGCAUCAAUUCUGCAAUAUUGAGGGUGUUCUCCAGCCAUGAGGUGCCUAUAAGCAUUAACUUCUUGUUGCAGAAAUGGUCUCCUGAACCUCAGAAGUCAUCCAGAAAUGGUAGCAGACAAUGUAUAAACAGGGAAUCGGAGGCACAGCCAGACAGGAUCCUUCUCUGUCUCUCUUAUUCUGGUGGCACCUCAAGUCUUUCUCUGUAUUUCCCCUACAUGUAACAAGGUAUCUACAAUUCGGUGUAUUUUUACAUUGAAAUACACAUAACAGGCAAAAGUGGGAGGGGGAAACCUUUUUGCUGAACCUGCUUACAGCCCUCUGCUCUCAGCCAGAGGCUCUGAGCUGCCCAGUUCACCUCUCUGACAUGUGCAUUUUGCAAUGCAGAAAGCUCUUGUUUGAAUGCAAAUGCUUCCACCAGCCUUCCAGUGGAGGGAAUAACAUACAUGCCUCAGUUUCCAACUCCAUCACGUCAUGGCCAUGCUUUAACUGCUGCAUUUUUAAUGAUGAUUUGGAGAUUUUUCUCUUAAUUGUUUGUCUUCAUAAUAAUUCUUUAUGUUUCUUUCAAAUACAGGCUGACCUGCCCAGAAGAUGCAUGUAGGAACACAUAACUGGUGUGAAGGGAACCUCAGGCACAGAUCCCCCACCUUCAAAAGCAUCAGGCACGGAGGGCUCUGCGCAUCAGGGAAGCCCAUGCCAGCUGCAGCAGCCCCCAGAUGAGUGCAUCUUUGGCGACACUGGGCCGGGGGGCUGCGAAUGCCCGGGGGCUCGGGUGGGGCUCACUCCACGUGAGAUCGAACUGUGUCCCCGGGGAUCCCCCGGCCCUGCAGGAGCAGAGAGAGGGCUACAGAGGAGGGAUCCCCUCUUCUGCAGAGGGCAUCCCCGGGGGACUCUGUGGCAUCUCCUCCCCGAGGGCAGGGAAUCGAGGUGGGGUCCCGCCACCUGGCGCCCCCUGAGCUGCGGUGCUCACCAGCGAGCGGGGAGCGGCCGUGAGAGCAUCCCGGAGGAGGGUGCAGAAUGCGGGAGCAGCCGGGGCGGGGAACUGCAGGGGCAUCCCGGGGAGGGGUAGGGGGGAGCCGUAAGGACAUCCAGAAGGAGA